UUUUGAUCAAAAUAUUUUGGGAUUUCACUCUCUAAGGAGGUGUUCGAGGUUGUGUUGAGCUCAAAUAUCAUAGAAUAAGUGAGGUUUGAUGAAGCAAGGUUUGGAAGCACGCUUUUGUCAAGAUCAAUGAUAGCUCUCAGCCACCCAAGUCAUAGAGACAUAAUCCGUUCUUUCUUUGGUAGGUGUCUAGCAACCCACUUAAAGCCUAGAGGGUUGGUCAUGUUCUGCUAAUGAGUCGAUCUUUAUCUAUUGUUUU